AGAGACAAAAGCAAACCAUGCUCACAGGGAUUAUCCCAACACAACUAUAAACAUUCUCCUAAGAAGAAUUUAAGGAUUCUCAGCUAGUCUGUUCCUGUUAUGAGACACAAAAAGUCUAUCAAUAGCCUGUAGUCCCAAAUUUUUUGUAUCCCAACUCCAGCCACCACUUUAUUUUUAACUCAUUUGUGCAGUGGACUUUUGUAAAUCCUCACCAACUAAUCCAGGGGCAGAGCCAGUCCCUUAAUUCUCAUUUUUUUCCCUAAGUUUUAAAGGGUUUGUUCAUGAUUUUUUUUAAGAAGUCUGAAGAUAGAUAGAUAUUUCAGAUCAUAGAAUGGCCUGGGUUGAAAAGGACCACAAUGAUCAUCUAGUUUCAACCUGCGUGCUAUGUGCAGGGUAGCCAACCACGAGAUCAUCAAAAUACUCAUUUUCCUAGUGUGGAAAGUGCAAACUUGCUUACAAACCCACUGUAAAUAGGCAGUGAAUAUGCAUCGUAUACAAUAAUCCCAAAAGAAUACAAAGCAGUUUUAAUAAUCUUCGUCCUUUUCUUGAGAUGUGCUGGUAAUCUUAUUCUGCAAUUCCUAAUGGUGUGAUAGUGAAAAAGGUCCCAUGGCUGGUCACACCAUGACACAGUUUGAAAAUUAUACGGCUGCUCUCCCUGUUAUGUUAAGAAAGAGGCAGAUUGAGAUAGCUUUCUCUGUAUCCCUGGGAGGGAAGCAGAGCCCUUGGCACUAGCCCACACCAAGGCAGGCAUGAGUAGUGUGGGUUUCUCAGCGAGUGACCUGAGCUUUUGCAGGUUAAUCCCUGGCCAGAGCUCCAAGGCAGCUCAGGGAACUGUGACCACCUGGAAGCCAAUUAAGUGUAGCUGAGCUUAUUUUGGUUCAGGCAUGAAAAAGAACAUAUUCUCUGAACAGACCUGGGCACCAUGCUGUUUUAACUUCCAGGGCCACUUAGAUCUUGGCUUCAAGUCUGCAGGCAUCGCUAACGUUCCUAAUAUUCUGUAAGAAAUGAAGGAAGAUGUAGAGGAGAAACUUUCUUUAGACACUUGGUAAGCAUUUUUUUUUUCUUGUCUUAUUGCCAGUGAGUCUGCAGAUCUCUUGCAGAGGUAAUUACACAAGAGGAGGAAGUGUCCUGUCUGAAUGUAUUUCCCGUAUUUUCUUGGCAGAUGAGAAGCAUCCUUCUAUUUAAAUUUGCCCUCAGAUCUGGUACUGUGUAGUACUGAAUCAAAAUGGCUGGUCCUGUACAAAUGUAUAGAAUACAAUUCAGUGAAAUCAUUCUUGAUUCGAAUAAUUUUGCCAUGGACGUCUUUGUGCACUAUGGAUUUGACACUGUCCACUAGGAUUAAUGGGACUUUCAAAACAGAGGUCAGUAGGCAGAGCCCUAGGCUCUCUAAGGGAAUCUCAACAGGUCCAAACUACACAUUUCUGUGCAACUUUAAUUACACAGUUUGUCAUACAUGUUACUGCUAUUCCUAGAGAAAACCUCAACUUCUCUCCCACUGCCCCCCACAAACACACACACAGAGUGAGCAAAUCCAGUGUUUAAGCAAGCUAAAGAACAGUGACAAUAUUAGACAUCUUCACUUCCAUCCUUAGGCAGCUUGGUAACAGGGACGUGGCCUUAGUAUGUAUUAUCCAUUACUGACUAACACUCUUGCCUUAAAGCAGUAAGGGAGUGUGUCCACAAUAUUUAGAUAAAGAGCUUUAACUGUUUAAGAGGCGUGUGCUAUAAGAAAGGUUUGGAUUUUAUACUACUUGCUGUGUCCCUGCACAGUUAGAUUAAUUGGAGAUAUAUACUGGGUUAUAAAGUGACACAUUCAUCGGUGAGCUUUUCUGUACCAACAAGCCUUGAGAUUCUUGACAGAAGCUCAAAACACAAAGUAGGAAUGGCAUGGAAAGUGACAAAAGAGCCUUCAUAAAGAAACACUGCUGCAAAUCACCUGUUUGCAUUUCAUUGCUUUCUUCUUCCAAGAAAUAGCUUCCAUUAAAGUUCUCAAAAGUCUACAGAAAUUUAUCAAAAAUAUGACAUGCAGAUUUUUGAAUGGAAUUUUCCAGAGCACAAAAAGGGGAAGACACAGUCAAUAAUUUGUUUAACUGCGCUUUACAUUAUUAAUUAUGCACUACUUCCAAUUUUUCCUUACAGAGGCAAAUGUAUCAAGUGGUAUUGGCCGUCAUAUGCCAAGUGAUGUUUGUAAAAGCUUUUAAUUGGAAGAGUCUUAUUAAGAUAGCGUAAUGAGAUCAGAUUUCCUUGAGACUGUAAAGGGUCUCAUCUUGCUCCAGCUUAAGUCAGUAGCAGAACUCCUCUGUAUUUGUUGUGCUUUGAUUAUUAGAUCAAAGAAACAUUUUUAGAAAGCCUGGAUAAGCCCUGACAAAUUUAUUAAGCAUUUCAGCUAGUUGAUGUGUAAUUUAUUGCCACGUGUUCUGUAUUUUACUUAUUUCUCUAGCUUCCCCAAAAACACUUGUUGUGCAACACCUAUUAUUUAAAACUUUAACUGGGGUUUUGCAAUAUUUAAGAGAUGCAUUUAAUCAUGUCUGUGUAUUUGCUGAAAAAAAAGAAGACAAAGUUCUGAAUCCUGGGUUCAAAUGUUUUGCUAAAGUGUGCACACAUCAUGCAUGCACAGUAUUUAAGCACAGCUAGUCUUAACUGCUGUUCUUAUUUAACCAAAGAAUACUCCAUUACCAAUGAAAUUUUCAUCACUUAGCUGGAUGAAGUUCAGUACGUUUUAUUUCUGGAUGUGUACUGCAAUCUGCAAUGCAUUUUGAUUUCUAAAGAUACUGAAUGUUAACAAAAUGCCUAUCAAGGACAAAAUGCAAAUAAAACAGUUUUCAAAG
rnacentral:lncRNA from 1 species